UCGUAAUGCGCGCAGCCUGAUGCAGCCAUGCCGCGUGAGUGAUGAAGGCCUUAGGGUCGUAAAGCUCUUUCACCAGGGAUGAUACUGACGUGACCUGACCUGCAAACCCCGGCUAACUCCGUGCCAUGACCCGCGGUAAUACAAUACAGG
rnacentral:rRNA from 1 species